rnacentral:rRNA from 1 species
GUGAAACUGCGAAUGGCUCAUUAAAUCAGUUAUCGUUUAUUUGAUAGUACCUUACUACUUGGAUAACCGUGGUAAUUCUAGAGCUAAUACAUGCUAAAAAUCCCGACUUUUUGGAAGGGAUGUAUUUAUUAGAUAAAAGACCAAUGCUUCUUCGGAAGUUCUUUGGUGAUUCAUGAUAACUUUUCGAAUCGCAUGGCCUCGAGCCGGCGAUGGUUCAUUCAAAUUUCUGCCCUAUCAACUUUCGAUGGUAGGAUAGUGGCCUACCAUGGUUUCAACGGGUAACGGGGAAUUAGGGUUCGAUUCCGGAGAGGGAGCCUGAGAAACGGCUACCACAUCCAAGGAAGGCAGCAGGCACGCAAAUUACCCAAUCCCGACACGGGGAGGUAGUGACAAUAAAUAACAAUACAGGGCUUUUUAUGGUCUUGUGAUUGGAAUGAGUACAAUUUAAAUACCUUAACGAGGAACAAUUGGAGGGCAAGUCUGGUGCCAGCAGCCGCGGUAAUUCCAGCUCCAAUAGCGUAUAUUAAAGUUGUUGCAGUUAAAAAGCUCGUAGUUGAACUUUGGGCUUGGUCGGCCGGUCCGCCUCAUUGGUGUGCACUGACCCGACCGAGCCUUUCCUUCUGGAUAACUAUAGUGCUUUUUAUUAAGUGCUAUAGGGAGCCAGGACUUUUACUUUGAAAAAAUUAGAGUGUUCAAAGCAGGCAUACGCUCGAAUAUAUUAGCAUGGAAUAAUAGAAUAGGACGUACGGUUCUAUUUUGUUGGUUCUCUAGGACCGUCGUAAUGAUUAAUAGGGACAGUCGGGGGCAUCAGUAUUCAAUUGUCAGAGGUGAAAUUCUUGGAUUUAUUGAAGACUAACUACUGCGAAAGCAUUUGCCAAGGAUGUUUUCAUUAAUCAAGAACGAAAGUUAGGGGAUCGAAGACGAUCAGAUACCGUCGUAGUCUUAACCAUAAACUAUGCCGACUAGGGAUCGGGCGGUGUUCUUUUUGUGACCCGCUCGGCACCUUACGAGAAAUCAAA